AAUUUUGGACAAUGGGGGAAACCCUGAUCCAGCCAUCCCGCGUGUAUGAUGAAGGCCUUCGGGUUGUAAAGUACUUUUGGCAGAGAAGAAAAGGUACCUCCUAAUACGAGGUACUGCUGACGGUAUCUGCAGAAUAAGCACCGGCUAACUACGGGCCAGCAGCCGCGGUAAUACGUAGGGUGCAAGCGUUAAGCGGAAUUACUGGGCGGAAAGCGUGUGUAGGCAGUUCCGAAAGGAAGAUGUGAAAUCCCAGGGCUCAACCUUGGAACUGCAUUUUUAACUGGCGGGGUAGAGGAUGUCAGGAGGGGGUAGGAUUCCACGUGUAGCAGUGAAAUGCGUAGAUAUGUGGAGGAAUAACGAUUGCGAAGGGCGCCCCCUGGGAUAAUACUGGCGCUCAGACACGAAAGCGUGGGGAGCAAACA
rnacentral:rRNA from 1 species